rnacentral:rRNA from 1 species
UCAACUUGAGAGUUUGAUCCUGGCUCAGAACGAACGCUGGCGGCAGGCCUAACACAUGCAAGUCGAGCGCGCCUUCGGGUGAGCGGCGGACGGGUUAGUAACGCGUGGGAACGUGCCCUUCUCUACGGAAUAGCCUCUGGAAACGGAGAGUAAUACCGUAUACGCCCUUUGGGGGAAAGAUUUAUCGGAGAAGGAUCGGCCCGCGUUAGAUUAGGUAGUUGGUGGGGUAACGGCCUACCAAGCCUACGAUCUAUAGCUGGUUUUAGAGGAUGAUCAGCAACACUGGGACUGAGACACGGCCCAGACUCCUACGGGAGGCAGCAGUGGGGAAU